CGAGACGCUCAUUCGGUGUGUGAUGCACACCCGGCGAGCGACCGGCGCUCCUCGCAGAGACCAAACAAAGUGACCCCUUUUGAUAAAGUGACAGUGACAGUGUGUGAAAUAGACAUGCUAAUGAGAGCAGCUGCCCCCAUGACAUAUAUUAGGAGGCGCAAUUACUGCCUUUAAUUGGAUUUCGCGCUUUUCCAGUUUCUAUACGCACGCUGAGGCUGGGCGCAUUGGGGCUGCAUGGUGGAGACAUUGGGGAGAGGGGGGGGUGGAGACGUUGGGGAGAGAGGGGGGAGGGGGUUGUUGGGAGGGGCUCUGUUCUGCAAAAUCUCAUCCGGCAGGAGCGCUGUCUUGAUCGUAGCUGCGAAUGGAGACUUGAUCUGUUCUCAUGUAAGAGGACCAUGCGUUAUACAAUCCCUGACCAAAUCUCAUCGGUGAUCCAUCGCUCUGUUCCUGCUGCAAGAUUCAGAAUGAUCAAUGCUCCCUCCAUCCGAGGUCGCUCACUGACCUCGCGCACUCUCAGAAGGGGAAGGAAUGAGAGAGAGAGAGCAAGAGAUCUGAGGAUACUCCGGAACCAGAGAGAGAGCACUUCUCCAGGCCUUGCACCAGUCCACAUCCUCGGCAGUUUGCAGUAUGGGCAGCUGCCUGUUCGGCGAGCUGAGAAAGUUCUCCAAGUCUCCAAGUCCUUCAUUGUGCAGAAGCACAGUCCUUGCUCUCAGAUCCUUCCGAGUGGCUCGGAAUUGGUGUGGAUGGUGGUUACCAAGGAAACGACCAAAUCCCUCAGCACGUCGUGUCUGGGAGAAGAGCAAAAAGGCUCAGAUAUGCCCAUGAGAGACCUUGGCCUCCACAAGACUUCGGAGCGACGAUUUGUUUGAAGCGAGCGACAGACGGAGGACACUACCAAGCUUUCCAGUCCAUCAGCUUGUUGAGUCCUGUCGAUCACGCCACAUCUGUGUAUAUCCUUUGUUUAUGUCCCCCUUUUCCCCGACCCCGUUGUGGAAUGUGGAUUACCAGACCGGUGAGUGCGAAAAUGUAAAUUUUUCGACGUAGCAAGUUUCAAUUACCAGGAUAUUAUGGACUUGCAUUUUGUGUGUACAAAUAACUUGGACACAGAAGCCGUCACACCCGUGCUUUAUCCGCAUCCCAUUAAUUUAUUCUAUCAGUUUAUUCAUAGUCUCUGAUACGAACCAGGCAUGUGUUCCAUUGGCAAGCUGCUUGCUAUCGCUUGCCAGUUGCCAGCCGUUCUGUGUCAACCGCUUUCAAGUCGCUUGGCAAGCGAUCAAGGGAUCAAGGGCUGCGGUUUGUUCCGUUAGCAAGCACCAUGCUAUCGCUUUGCUAGCCGCUCGGCAAACGGAGAAAGCGGUUGAGAGUCGCUUCGUUUUGAUAGCAAAAACGUCUGCUGCAGUCGUAAUGUUUUUAUUUGUAUUAUUGUUAUUAUUUCACAUGUAGCCUGUUGCUUGAUCGUUGCAUCAUUUUCUCGGAGCACGGCUGUGCCACUGAAGCAACCGCUUUCAACCGCCCCCUUUUCUCAGUAAGCCGGAACUCAUUUUGCCGACCUUGGAACGAUGACAGGGCGAGUCAACCCACCUGGUGUUAUUUAACGGAUGGACAGAGGCUCAAUCUCAAAACCUUAAGAUCUUAAGCCAGCCACCUUAACCGUUAAGUCAACACCAAGCUUUAGUCAUAUUAAAAAUUACACUACCAUCAAUGAAAUGUUGAGAACCAGACCCUUGUGAGGAAUACUAAUAUCAUUGAAACGUGCAUUUCAUACUUUUAUUGUGUCUACUUUUUAUCCAAAUUCUUCAAGAUCCUACCCCUCCCCCAAAAUGCACAGUGGUGGGGUCCGUAGUUCAGCUUGGAAGGGGGUUCCUCCUUCUGACUCCUCAUUUAUUUUUCUUUCUUUCCCUCUUCCUUGUACUCUGUAGCCGCUGCUAACCCAAUCAAUUGGUUUUACUAAGUUGAUCAAGAGGAUCGAGUAAAACCAUGAUAGCAUUAUUUACAUGGCGACACCCAUGUUGUUAAGCGGUGCCGAGCAAUACGUUCCGUUUGAGUGCUUGCUUGAGCGCUUUGGAUCAAGCAAGCAGCAAGCAAGCCGCUUGCUAACGGAACACACCCCCAUAUCUUUACCUUUUACUUUAGGGAAGAGUGGAGGGGGGAGAAGAAAAAGAAGGAGAACAGUGGGUGCAGGCUCAGGGAUAUCACCAGGGUGUUUAGCUCUAUUCUCCCUCCCCCCCUCACCUCCUACAGUGUAUCUAAGCCUCAGUGUAGUUUUAAACACAAAGUGCAAAGGUUUGAGCAGACAACGGACAAAUCUUAAUGGUAUAUAUGGGAUUUGAGUGUCCGAGUGCCUUGUGUUGGCUUAAUGAUUCGGGUGAUGGGCUUGGGAUCUUAGGCUCCUGAGUUCAAAUCCUGCUUUCUCGUUGAAUUAAUACCAGGUUGGGUUGACUCAGCCUGUCAUCCUUCUGAGGUCGGCAAAAUGAGUGCCAGCUUGCUGGUAUCCUGUGUCAGAGUGGCGACCUGUCCAGGAUUGUACCCAUUGAUCAAGAAGACUGCUUAGGUGGCACCAACGCUCUGCACAGAGUAUGGUCUCGAUGGAUGGAUGGAUGGAUGGAUGGAUGGUCUCUGAGUGAGUUUUCAACACGUGAGAGCAAUGUCCAUAAAGUUGAUUCCUGUAACUGCUUUUCACCUGUACAUGAAUCCUAAAUUGGACAUCUUGCAAAUUGUUGAUCCCAUUGUACCUCUAAAACAUGAGGCUGUCAUUUCGCUUGAACAAACUUUUACUUUUACUGAUCUGUCAAGGACAUGUAUGAGGGACAUUUGAGAAGUUCUCAGAACGAGAUACUCACAGUAGUUCAACAAGACAUGCCAACUUUUUGUUUUUUUUAUCUGCAAGUCUUUGAAUAAUGUAAGUGUCUCGUUCGCAAACAUUUUUGAAUCCCCACAUAUGUGUGAUACAUGUCGUGAGAGGCAAACUUUCACUUUAGUGUAACUUCUGCUUUAUACGUCACCGUCAUCAUGAGAUGAGGCAGAAAUCUCGAAUGCGAUUGGCUGUGAGUCAUCCGUGCACAUGAUGAGGUGGAGAGGAAUUGGAUGUGACGCGGUGAUGCAAUUUCUUGCUCCGUUGACUCAAUGAGCAAGGUUGGCAGGUUUGGAGGAGCACUUUGAAUCUUGAACCUUGAAUCUCAGGUUUGCGGUCGAAGUUCACGUCAAACUGGUGCCUCAUCCUAAACGUGUCAACCAUAAAACACAUGAAUAGCGAUUGAUUAUAUUCUAUAUUUUUAAAUCUAUUUUAUUGCCCUUAUUUUGUCUGAAACUUCAGAAAGCGAACCUUGCAUUUUUGUCUGUGAAUGAGCAAAAGGGCAACCAUGACGUACAGAACUUUCCUUGUCUGAAGAAGUGAUCUACUCGACGUGAUGCAUUGCCUGUACCAGCAUUAUUCAGAUCCAAUUCCUUCGGUAUAAUCGAAAUGUUAGACUCACGAAGUAAGGCACAUUCAAACCGUUCCACCAAAUUAACUAUCUUGCCGAUCAAAGCGUCUAUAAACACCAUUUGAUGAAUGCGGUUGAAUCUUCUGGAAACUCGAUCCGUUCCAUAUGGAGCAGUUCCCACAAUGUAUAACCCACAGACCAUCCAUAUAAUCUCCGGCUAUAUAGUCAGUCAACAGACUAUCUUGAUUAAGCAUGUCUGAUUGAAAUGGCAACCGCAUAUGUUGGGUGUACCCGGACCCGAGCAGCACCGGCUCGGCUCUCAUUUAUAUACGAUCGCACACUUUAUUAGCGUUGGAGCCUUGAAGGCCUGCGGGCUAAUGACAGUCCUUGCACAUUUCGCCGUCAUUAGUACAUUUAAUACGAGUCUGCCUGGAGGAAUUUGUAUUCCUCAUUAUUAAUCGAAAGGGGCUGGUGUCAGCCCCCCCCCCCC
ensembl:lincRNA